UAAAAAGGGGUCGUAAGCACCCACCCUUAAAGCGUGAGUUCCAAUCAUUCGAAUUCGGAUUCUUUUGAGAAACUUGUCGUGUGAUCAAGUGAGGGAAACGCAAUGAACCAGUGCAGAACACAAAGAGAAGAACGCAAGCCUAAUCGAUUGGGAGGAAGUGGCGAUUGGAAACGGAAGGUCGAUCAAGGGGCAAGGCUGAUCGGCGGUGGUCAGAUACGUCGAGACAGGAGGAGUUUCUGGCGUUUGACGAGGCCUAACGGGAGAAGGAGCUUCGCUGCUGUGGUCUUCGCUGGUUGGGGCAAUCAGCAGCACCGGUGGAGGGCUCGGUUCGUCGGGUUUGUUGCGAGCAAGAAGGGAAGGAUGGAGGCAGCGAGGCUUCCCUCUUCUCGGCCGGCUGUAGAAUGCGAGAGGGAAGGCAGGUUUGAAGGGGUUCUGGGAGGCAUCGCGGGCAGCAACUACAAAGACGAAGGGGGUGUUCGGUGGGUUUGCUUCGACGGUGGUUGAACGGUGGAAGGAAAGGAAAACAGGAUGUGGAGGUGGCGGCAGCCACUUGUGUCGCCGGAAAUACACACGAGAGAGGGGAUUUUGAGGUGAUCGACAAGCUUUUUGGUGAUAAGGUUUUUGGGUUUAUUGUUUGACAGGGAAUGGAAUUUAGAAUCAGUAACCAAACCUUCACGGUAUUUGAUAGUAACCAAGAAGAACAAGGGCUGUUGGAUUCACGGGGAGAAGGGAGAAGAAAUGGAUUUUUCAUGAUCUCUUAGUCUGACUGAUUUGUCAACAACAACACAACACCUCCAUUGGAGGUGUUCUUGACUGGAACGAAGGAGUAGACGGCAAGAAAACUGAUGUUAAGGCAUUGGUGAUUCAUUGACAGCUUUGAGAAGGAAACACACGUUUCCUUUUUGUGUAAUUGUGUGUUUCUUUUUGUGUGUAAUUUUAGAUUUUAGAUAAGUUAAUAUGUAGAAGAAAAGUCAAUCGGCUUUAAUUUGAUUUGCUUUGCUGUCUUUCUUUACUAAUUUAUUUAUUUCUUUGUAUUUAUUUA